CCUACGGGAGGCAGCAGUAGGGAAUAUUGCUCAAUGGGGGACACCCUGAAGCAGCAACGCCGCGUGGAGGAUGAAGGUUUUCUGAUUGUAAACUCCUUUUGUUAGAGAAGAUAAUUACGGUAUCUACCGACUAACCACCGGCUCACUCCGUGCCAGCAGCCGCGGUCAUACGGAGGGUGCAAGCGUUACUCGGGAUCACUGGGCGGAAAGGGCGCGUAGGCGGGAUAGCAAGUCAGAUGUGAAAUCCUAUGGCUUAACCAUAGAACUGAAUUUGAAACUGGUAUUCUAGAGUAUGGGAGAGGUAGGUGGAAUUCUUGGUGUAGGGGUAAAAUCCGUAGAGAUCAAGAGGAAUACUCAUUGCGAAGGCGACCUGCUAGAACAUAACUGACGCUGAUGCGCGAAAGCGUGGGGAGCAAACAGGAUUAGAUACCCCAGUAGUC
rnacentral:rRNA from 1 species